UACGUAGGGGGCGAGCGUUACUCGGAAUUACUGGGCGUAAAGCGUGCGCAGGCGGCGCGUUAAGACAGGUGUGAAAGCCCCGAGCUUAACUUGGGAAUUGCGCUUGUGACUGGCGUGCUGGAGUGUGGCAGAGGGAGGUGGAAUUCCACGUGUAGCAGUGAAAUGCGUAGAGAUGUGGAGGAACACCGAUGGCGAAGGCAGCCUCCUGGGCCAGCACUGACGCUCAUGCACGAAAGCGUGGGGAGCAAACAGG
rnacentral:rRNA from 1 species